GAACACACACAUAUAUGUUACAUUAACACACACCUGACAACACACACGUUACACACACACAUCAACACACUGUUAUGCCCUGUCUUCUGUGUACCUGCUCUCUUCUUUCUAGUUUCAGGGAGUUGAGAUGAUCAUUGGUCCUGUCCAAUCAGUGGCAACUGAGCAAACUACAGAGGGCCCUUCCUCCCCCUCCUCAUCCUCUCUCUCAGCCAGCAGACUCUCCUCCACUGACAUUUGUUUUGUCUAGUUCAGGUUUCCUUCUGUCAUGUUACUCCCCCCCUGAGCCAGGUUGAAAUAUACGGGGGCUCGUCCAGGAUUGGAUCAGGAUCCAACAUGUUUUUGUGUUGAGUUUAUCUUCAGUAGUAGUUUGGUUUAGUUGGUGUUCCUCCUGUAACUGGUGGAGGUUUGGGUAGUUUAUUUUGCUGUGUUUAAUUUCCUAGUGUGGUGUGGUGGUAAGUAGCCUGUGUCUUCCUUUUGUGUUGUACGGUGGUACAAGCAGUCUUUCAGUUUAGAAGUAAACCCUGGUAAGUAAGACGCCAAGUGAACCAGCUGCCUCUCAUUGUUAGAGGUUUGCUGCAUCGUGUUGUUGGCCUUUUCUGGUUGAUCGUUCCUUGCAGUGUUUAAAUUUGCCUCAACUCUGGAACACCUAAAAGCAGACAGUAACGUAUGAGGUAAUAUUUUGGAAAGUGAAGGACUAGGGUUUACUAGUGAACACUUGUUGUGACUUCUGAACACGUGAUAGCUUUGUUUCACUGUGCUUUGUGUUGUCAGGGGAGAUGGGAGCUGUCACAAUCCCUCCUCCAUGACAGCUGCUUGACUGUUGUGAGUGUGUUUUUGUUAUUUUCAGCCCUCUUAGUAUGAGUGAUGUGUGCUUGGUGUGUUUUGGUUUUGUCUGUCUAUCGUUUCCCUCCCCCCUUGCCCACUGUGUCUCUCUGCACACUUGCUCAUCAUUGGUAAUCAGCGCAUCUGCCUGUCAUCACCACUCGUCUACAAGUACUCUGCAGAUAGCCAGUCCCUGCCAGAUCAUCGUGCUAUUCACGCCCGCCAGUCGGCUCACAUCCUCGGGACUCUCCGCCAAGCCUCCUCACCUCAGCCCAAACACCAGUCAGCUGCCAUCUCAUCAUCCCUGCCUGUCUAUGCAAUAAAAGACUUAUUACCUUA